AUACUCACCUGGCAGGGGAGAUAUCAUGAUAAGGAAGGUGGUUUUUUUCCAGGAUGAGGUUCAUCCAGUGCACUCCAGAUGUGCUGACCCCUGUGCGUUGCACAAACUCCACUGCAUAAUUUGUGGCAGUGAGGGGCUGCUUUCACUUUUUCCCCUG